rnacentral:rRNA from 1 species
UACGGAGGGGCUAGCGUUGUUCGGAAUUACUGGGCGUAAAGCGCACGUAGGCGGCUUUGUAAGUUAGAGGUGAAAGCCCGGAGCUCAACUCCGGAAUUGCCUUAAGACUGCAUCGCUUGAAUCCAGGAGAGGUGAGUGGAAUUCCGGAGUGUAGAGGUGAAUCGUAGAUAUUCGGAAGAAACACCAGUGGCGAAGGCGGCUCACUGGACUGGUAUUGACGCUGAGGUGCGAAAGCGUGGGGAGCAAACAGG